UGGGGAAUCUUGCGCAAUGGGCAAAAGCCUGACGCAGCCAUGCCGCGUGAAUGAUGAAGGUCUUAGGAUUGUAAAAUUCUUUCACCGGGGACGAUAAUGACGGUACCCGGAGAAGAAGCCCCGGCUAACUUCGUGCCAGCAGCCGCGGUAAUACGAAGGGGGCUAGCGUUGCUCGGAAUUACUGGGCGUAAAGGGCGCGUAGGCGGAUCGUUAAGUCAGAGGUGAAAUCCCAGGGCUCAACCCUGGAACUGCCUUUGAUACUGGCGAUCUUGAGUAUGAGAGAGGUAUGUGGAACUCCGAGUGUAGAGGUGAAAUUCGUAGAUAUUCGGAAGAACACCAGUGGCGAAGGCGACAUACUGGCUCAUUACUGACGCUGAGGCGCUAAAGCGUGGGGAGCAAACAGG
rnacentral:rRNA from 1 species